GGAAUCCUACGGGAGGCAGCAGUGAGGAAUAUUGGUCAAUGGUCGGGAGACUGAACCAGCCAAGCCGCGUGAGGGAUGAAGGUACAGAGUAUCGUAAACCUCUUUUGUCAGGGAACAAAGGCGGGGACGCGUCCCCGGAUGAGUGUACCUGAAGAAAAAGCAUCGGCUAACUCCGUGCCAGCAGCCGCGGUAAUACGUAGGGGGCAAGCGUUAUCCGGAUUUACUGGGUGUAAAGGGAGCGUAGACGGCUGGCCAAGUCUGAAGUGAAAGCCCGGGGCUUAACCCCGGAACGGCUUUGGAAACUG
rnacentral:rRNA from 1 species